AUUAAAGCAAUGAUUGAGAAUAGUAGGCAUAUUAAUCGGCUAAAGCGACCUGGGGAUGGUGGAAGCCUGGGGCAGGAGAUAUGUUGAAUGGGCUCAUGAGUGUAAAGCCGAAAUAACAGUAGGUUUUAACGUUUCCCGCGUUAAGGGCAGAGUGGGUCAUUUGACCAACUAGAGUGGUACCGCGUAGGAAGUUUCCUUCGUCUCUUUU
rnacentral:ncRNA from 1 species